GUGUCAGCAGCCGCGGUAAGACGGAGGGUGCAAACGUUGUUCGGAAUCACUGGGCAUAAAGAGCACGUAGGCUGCGCGCUAAGUCAGGUGUGAAAUCCCCCGGCUCAACCGGGGAACUGCACCUGAUACUGGCGUGCUCGAGGACGGUAGGGGUGAGUGGAACUCCAGGUGGAGCGGUGAAAUGCGUAGAUAUCUGGAGGAACACCGGUGGCGAAAGCGGCUCACUGGACCGUCUCUGACGCUGAGGUGCGAAAGCUAGGGUAGCAAACGGGAUUAGAUACCCCGGUAGUCC
rnacentral:rRNA from 1 species